UACAGAGGUCUCAAGCGUUGUUCGGAUUCAUUGGGCGUAAAGGGUGCGUAGGUGGCGGGGUAAGUCAGGUGUGAAAUCUCGAGGCUCAACCUCGAAACUGCACUUGAUACUGCCUUGCUCGAGUACUGGAGAGGAGAUUGGAAUUUACGGUGUAGCAGUGAAAUGCGUAGAUAUCGUAAGGAAGACCAGUGGCGAAGGCGAAUCUCUGGACAGUUACUGACACUGAGGCGCGAAAGCCAGGGGAGCGAACGGG
rnacentral:rRNA from 1 species